CUCUCCAAAUUGUUUUUGCUUGCAUAAAUGAUUUUUGGAUUGGGAGCGAGUGGCGAACUGGUGAGUAACACGUGGGUAACCUGCCCCGAAGCGGGGGAUAACAUUUGGAAACAAGUGCUAAUACCGCAUAAUUAGUUGGAACCGCAUGGUUCCAACUUGAAAGAUGGCUCUGCUAUCACUUUGGGAUGGACCCGCGCCGUAUUAGUUAGUUGGUGAGAUAAAAGCCCACCAAGACGAUGAUACGUAGCCGACCUGAGAGGGUAAUCGGCCACAUUGGGACUGAGACACGGCCCAGACUCCUACGGGAGGCAGCAGUAGGGAAUCUUCCACAAUGGACGAAAGUCUGAUGGAGCAACGCCGCGUGAGUGAUGAAGGUUUUCGGAUCGUAAAACUCUGUUGUUAAAGAAGAACAAGUGUUAGAGUAACUGUUAACACUUUGACGGUAUUUAACCAGAAAGCCACGGCUAACUACGUGCCAGCAGCCGCGGUAAUACGUAGGUGGCAAGCGUUGUCCGGAUUUAUUGGGCGUAAAGCGAGCGCAGGCGGUUUUGUAAGUCUGCUGUGAAAGCCCUCAGCUCAACUGAGGAAGUGCAGUGGAAACUACAAAACUUGAGUACAGAAGAGGAAAGUGGAACUCCAUGUGUAGCGGUGAAAUGCGUAGAUAUAUGGAAGAACACCAGUGGCGAAGGCGGCUUUCUGGUCUGUUACUGACGCUGAGGCUCGAAAGCAUGGGUAGCGAACAGGAUUAGAUACCCUGGUAGUCCAUGCCGUAAACGAUGAAUACUAGGUGUUGGAGGGUUUCCGCCCUUCAGUGCCGCAGCUAACGCAUUAAGUAUUCCGCCUGGGGAGUACGACCGCAAGGUUGAAACUCAAAGGAAUUGACGGGGGCCCGCACAAGUGGUGGAGCAUGUGGUUUAAUUCGAUGCUACGCGAAGAACCUUACCAGCUCUUGACAUCUUCUGCUAACCCAAGAGAUUGGGCGUUCCCUUCGGGACAGAUGACAGGUGGUGCAUGGUUGUCGUCAGCUCGUGUCGUGAGAUGUUGGGUUAAGUCCGCAACGAGCGCAACCCUUAUUAUUAGUUGCCAGCAUUUAG
rnacentral:rRNA from 1 species